CAGUCGUACCGGCGGGUAAUCAGCCUUUUGGGUGUGAUUAUGUGGAGUGUGAGGAGUUAAACACCCUCAUCUUUGCAUAUUCGUGCACUUUGGGUGUACUUGCUCGUGUGGUAGGUUAACAUCAAUUUUGAUCGUCAUAAAAUGAUUGGAGGAAUGUAGCUUCGAACUCGUAUUGAAGUGUUAUAGCCUUCGGUAGAUGUGAUGAUUGGGAUUGAGGAUUGCAACGGAUACCCUUCGGGGCUACCUGUCUGAUCUCUGAAAGUUGCUCUGGUGCUGAAAGCUUGCUUAUGGUAUCAAAGUUGACGUUCAACAGGUUAGAACGGGAUAAA
rnacentral:rRNA from 1 species